rnacentral:rRNA from 1 species
GACGAACCGUGCAAACGUUAUUCGGAAUCACUGGGCUUAAAGGGCGCGUAGGCGGGCCGCCAGGUCCGGGGUGAAAGCCUCCAGCUCAACUGGAGAAGUGCCUUGGAUACCGGCGGCCUCGAGGGAGGUAGGGCGUGCGGAACUUCGGGUGGAGCGGUGAAAUGCGUGAGAUAUACCGAAGGAACCACCGGUGGCGAAAGCGGCGCGCUGGAUCUCUUCUGACGCUGAGGCGCGAAAGCCAGGGGAGCAA